GCGGGGUAUAGCUCUGUGGUAGAGCAUUCGACUGCAGAUCGGAAGGUCCUCGCGGUUCAAACCCGGAUGUCCACU